rnacentral:rRNA from 1 species
UACGUAGGGGGCAAGCGUUGUCCGGAAUCAUUGGGCGUAAAGCGCGUGUAGGCGGCUCGAUAAGUCUGCUGUGAAAGUCCAGGGCUCAACCCUGGAAGGCCGGUGGAAACUGUCGGGCUAGAGUCCGGAAGAGGCGAGUGGAAUUCCCGGUGUAGCGGUGAAAUGCGCAGAUAUCGGGAGGAACACCAAUGGCGAAGGCAGCUCGCUGGGACGGUACUGACGCUGAGACGCGAAAGCGUGGGGAGCAAACAGG